rnacentral:rRNA from 1 species
AACGAACGCUGGCGGCAUGCCUAACACAUGCAAGUCGAACGAGACCUUCGGGUCUAGUGGCGCACGGGUGCGUAACGCGUGGGAACCUGCCCUUAUGUUCGGAAUAACUCCCCGAAAGGGGUGCUAAUACCGGAUAAUGUCUUCGGACCAAAGAUUUAUCGCCUUUGGAUGGGCCCGCGUUGGAUUAGCUAGUUGGUAGGGUAAAAGCCGACCAAGGCUACGAUCCAUAGCUGGUCUGAGAGGAUGAUCAGCCACACUGGGACUGAGACACGGCCCAGACUCUUACGGGAGGCAGCAGUGGGGAAUAUUGGACACCGGGCGAAAGCCUGAUCCAGCAAUGCCGCGUGAGUGAUGAAGGCCUUAGGGUUGUAAAGCUCUUUUACCCGGGAUGAUAAUGACAGUACCGGGAGAAUAAGCUCCGGCUAACUCCGUG